rnacentral:rRNA from 1 species
CCCAGUGGCGGACGGGUGAGUAACGCGUGGGUAACCUGCCCUGUACAGGGGGACAACAGCCGGAAACGGCUGCUAAUACCGCAUAAGCCCGCGGCGCCGCAUGGCGCUGCGGGGAAAACUCCGGUGGUACAGGAUGGGCCCGCGUCUGAUUAGCUAGUUGGCGGGGUAACGGCCCACCAAGGCAGCGAUCAGUAGCCGGCUUGAGAGAGUGGACGGCCACAUUGGGACUGAGACACGGCCCAGACUCCUACGGGAGGCAGCAG